ensembl:rRNA 5S_rRNA 5S ribosomal RNA
GUCUGCAGCUAAACCAUCCUGAAUGUGCCCAAUCUCAUCUGAUCUAGGAAGCUUGGCAGAGUCUGUCCUGUUUAGUACCUGGAUGGGAGAAAGGAAGGGUAUUGUCAUCU